AGAGAAAAAAAAUGGGAAAGAAAAAAGGAAAAUAAAUAUAUAAAUCAAUUUCCUAAAAUUCUGAAAGUUUUCUCCAAGUGCUUCCUUCAGAUCCAUUUAGAGGGGCCGCGGUUUUAAUUUUUUCUGCGUCACAACCGUAGCCACUUGUUUGAAUAGACCGGCGGAUUCACUUGCACACCGCUCAGCUCAAAUAUGGGCUAAAGAAGAUCAAGUCGCGGCUUCGCUUGCUGAUGCCGCUCAUUUCGGAGGGCUUCUUCGCUUCGCUAGCGCACAGAGAUAAAUGCUAUCAAAAGACUUCACUGCUCGGUUAAGAGAGAUUGACGCCGCUGGUGCAGACCGAAUCGGGUGUCGCUUGCAGGAGGGGCUGGACGGCUUCCGUUGGCUGAAGACACCGCUCAUUUUCCGUCGCCGCUCAAGAGGGCGCUGAGACAAUUCAAACCACUGGUUCGAGCAGACCGGCCGGUUCGCUUGCGGAUGAACUUCUCCGCUUCGAUCUCCAUCGCUGCAGCGGCGGCUAGGCUUCAAUGAUGAGCGGGAUCACCGCUUGCGAGCGGUCAUAACCAUGGUUCGCCGGAUCGUACGAGUCCGGUCCGACUCGGCCGAUCGGGAGAAAAAUCCGAUAUUUGUCAUAGGAUUUUCAAAUACACACAAAUCUUAUCCAAAACUCAUUCUUAUUCAUUCCUUUACCUAUUUUCUUUUUCUCUCGGUCGCUGGCUUCUCCUCGUUGUUCCUGGCGGUGACGAAAAAUAAUUGCUCGGCUUCUGCUCUUUGUUCCUGUUGGUGGACAAGGUAAGUUUUGGGUAUCUAUAGUGUUGGGAAUGUGGGUUUUAGCAAUCAUCUAUGUGGUAGAGGGAUUUGAGAAAAAAAUUCGCCUGUGAAGAAAAAUUGUUGGUAUUGUGUAGAAAAAAAGUUAGCUUGGACGGGUAUUGGAUUUUAUGGGAGGAAGAAUAGUAGAUUCCCCGUGAAAGAAAGACGCUUGAGUUUGUGUAAAAUGGCACCGCAAAAAGAUAUUGGUGGGAUCAUGCUACUCCUAUAAACAACGAUAGAAAGCAUACAAAAUGCAAUUAUUGUGGAAAAAUUGUUCACGGUGGGAUUAUUAGGAUGAAACAACAUAUAGCACAUGUUACAGGUCAAGUUGAAGUGUGUACGAGAGCUCCAAAAGAAGUAAGAGAGUUACUAAAACAACACUUGAUCCAAGGAAAAGGAGGAAGCAGUUCGAAUACAAAAGGAGCUAAAAGAACUUUUUUCGAAAGCUCUACGAGAAAGACCGUGGGGAAAUUUGGUCGUCCCUUCACGGAUCCGCCCAAGAACUAUCGAAAUACAUUAGUGAUGUUCUGAAAUCCGCCAUUCGGAACGAGUUUGCGCUGCUUCUGGAGGAAGAAACUCGAAAAAGUAAGGUCCGGAAGGUCGAUUCGAGUGAGCCAGAGAUUUGGCCUCCCGCGGGCCUUACAACCAGCUUCGCAGCAGAUCCGAAAUCCCAGGCACUUAAGUAUGACCAUAUUACUCUGUUCGGUACGGAUACCGGAUCUGGAGGACCUCCGAUCACCAUCCAGAAGGUCGGAGAAUCUCGAACGUCGUCCGGGCAGGCUUCCUUUGGGCCGCCUUCAACCGACGGAUUUGUGACGACCUUCGGGCCAGUCCCAUCAGUACCAUAUAAGCAAAAUAAUCCGUUAAUUUCUGGAAAUACUUUCAGCACCCUAGUCACCACUCCAGGCCUUCGAAAAAACCCAAUGGCCGGACAAGAGACUUUCAAUGCAUGGGGGGGGCAGGGCUGACAGCGAUACCAGCACUUUCCUUGGUCCCAAAGCCUUCUGGAAUGACUUGGGAACCAGGAGGAUCAGUCCUAACACCAUCCCAAUACACUGGGGGGCAGGGAGCUGCUGGAGAAGGUCGAUUUGCUGCUGGUUCCGGGUUGGAACAAACCUACGAAUAUUCUGCCCAACCAGCCCCUGAAAAUACACCAUUGCAACAGGUUCCGAUCUUUAGAGAACCUACGGAAGGCCCUCGAGCUCGUUUCUCACAACGGGGACCUACUCAACAAGCCUUCCCGCAGCCAGCGUUACACAAUCCGCCGUCCAUUCAGGCAGCUUCCGAACAGCCUGGGGGGCAGGCAGAGAUGGUGCCGCUGCCACAUCCUAUCAUAUAUCCACGGUAAUCGAAAAUGCAAUUCAUAGGAUAUAUGACGAUCGGAAAAGCAAGGAUUCGAUCAAGCAGUUCUUGAAAAAAUUAAGGAGCGCAUAAAUUAGAUGCCAAGUUCGUGUACCAGAGGACCAGGUGGUGAAUGUGGUAAUAAAUAACAUGGCGCACCAACUGCGUGACAGCCUGGCUCUUCAGGAAUGUCACGACUUUCGGCAGCCGAUGUCCAAAGCUGUGAAGGCCGAGCAGCCAUUCAAAGAAGCUCAAAUGGCCCGAAAUCAAAAGUUUCGGAGUGGUUAUCAUUGCGUGUUUGCCCAAGAAGGGGUUUCCGAGGUCGACGAGGAGCAAGAUGAGACCUUCUUGGCUGAAAUUUCGUAGGGGAAGGCAUAUACAUGCCCGACUCUUUAGCCGUCUCGACGGAAUGAGGUGAAUCUGAAAGUAUCUUACUCAUUCGACAUCGCGAAGACGGAACAGAUUUUUGACUACUUGCUGAAAGAUAACCAGCUCCGCCUUAAAGAAGGUCACAAAAUGCCGAUCGAAGAGGAGCUGAAUGGAAAAUUAUUUUGUAUGUGGCAUGGAAUAUAUGACCAUCAGAUCAGGAACUGCAUUUCUUUCCGAAAUACAGUCCAGAAAGCCAUCAAAGAAGGCCGCCUCAAGCUGGCCAAAAAAUUUGACAUGAAAAUAGACACGGAGCCGUUCGCCACGCCGAUAAACGUUGUCGAAAUACGUCCAGCCAGGUCCAAAAAGACAAAUUCGGGGUUUGGAGCAGAUGGUAGGAGAACAGCCCCUAAAAAACCAGUGUUAGAAAGGCUUGGAAGGUCGAUCAAACCUCCGAGAAGAAGUUCGGUGUGGGACAAACUUUCCUCCACGAAUACGAUCACGGAAGUAAGCUUUGAAAAGGGAGGCGAGUUUUGGCGAGUAACGUCCGUAGAUCAGGUGGUAAUCACACCCCAUCAAACCUGCCAUCCAUGGAAGGCUCCAGACGACGAGAGCUAGACAAGGAAUCGGAAGGAGCAGGUGAUGCGACCUCCUACUAGGACUCAAAAAAGGAGGAUGCAGCGACAACGCUUGGCCGCUCGCCUUUCCCGAGAGAAUCAGGUUGGGGGGCAGCAGGCUGAUGACCACGAAGGUCAGGCCAGAGGGCAGCAGGCCCAGGGCUCAAAAGGAGCUAUCGCUGGAAGGCCGAAGCUUGGUCGGAAGGACCUUCGUCACCAGCUUCAGGCCCGAAAGGAAUGGAGACCAAAAAGAGUUCUUGCAAGGGUUGAACACCCUAAUGAACCUUACUUUACUGUGACACUCGGGAAAGACCAGAUUUCGGAAGGUGAGCCGAUGAUCGAUGCCCUUGAUUGCGAUGAAGCGGCGGAGGCUAGCUUGGACAUUAUUGCCUCCGACCAGGACCUCGAACGAGCUUCGUACUGUGAAGAAGAUCUCAAGGUCAAUAUAAUAGGGAUGCUACCUCGGGAAUUCGAAGCCCCUCAAGUUCAACACGAUUAUCUUCAGAUGGAUGUGAUGUUGGAAGGAGCUGGUUUACUAUAUUGGGUAGAGCAAGAUUCCAACAUUCCGAAAGAGAGUCCAGAACCAGUAAUUUUUCAGAAGUUGGCGGACGAAAAUACGCGCCACUUGAAACCCUUAUUCCUCAUGGUGCAUCUUGAUGGGUGGACGAUCAGCAAGGUUCUGAUAGAUAGGGAGCUUCCGUCAAACUGAUGACUCUAUCCACUUUGGGAAAAAUUAAGAAAAAACAGAAAUGAUUUCGUCUGGACAACCAUGCGAACGACCGACUUCAUCGGAAAUGCGUAUACGACAGCAGAUGUGUUGGUGGAGAAAGUGACGGUUGAAACAACGACGAACCAAAUGGCUUAUUUCAUCAAUGAGGGAAAGCUAACCUAUUCAGCCAUUAUCGGGAGGGAUUGGAUCCACACUACCCAGUGCGUCCCUUCAACAUUGCACCAAAAAAUUAUGUUUUGGAACGGAGACCAAGUCAAGACGGUAGAGGCCAAGGCUGAUCCAGCUAUGGAGGUGCAUUUCGCAGAGGCUGUUUAUUUUUCCCUCGAUGUAUACCCGCUGUCCAUCAUGCCGAAGGAUGCUGGAAUGGGGAAAAAUGGCAAUCUAACCAUGAAGGGGUUCGAAAUAAAAUUCGAGGCCGACGCACGGCCUAAUAACUCGGGUAUUUAUCAUGUCUGACAUCCUAAUUUUACAUGAUUUGGAGAUGAGAGCAGACAGGUCCGACUGUACAUUUAUAUGGGCUAGAAAUCAUGCCGCUCAACCUCUUGACGUGCAGAUAGGGAUAUCCUCUCAGCCGCCUAAUUACGAUCAAGACGAAGAGGAUGUUCAUUCGCCAAUUCGAAGAGCUGCUCCACCUUUCGAAGCGCAUGACCCAUUAGAGGAUAUUAACUUGGGGGAUGAGGCAACCCCUCGGGCGACACGGGUCAGCGCCUUGCUGAAUGUCGAGAGAAAAUAACGAAUGAUUGCUUUGAUCUGAAAAUUCAAAGAUUGCUUCGCAUGGGAUUACCAUGAGAUGCCGGGGUUAUCAAGGAACAUAGUUGAGCAUCGAUAAACAGCCCCUUAGGCGUUUCAACCCGGAAGUAUUGUCGAAAGUGAAAGAGGAGGUCGAAAAACUCCUUAAAGCUAACUUUAUUGAAACAUGCAGGUACCCGGAGUGGAUUUCCAACAUUGUUCAAGUAAUGAAGAAAAAAAAAGAUCCAGCUUUCUGUUGCCCCGGAGAAAUCGGAAUCUUCAAAUUGAUAAUAAUGCCCGUCGGCCUAAAAAAUACCAAAGUGACCUACCAAAGGGCGAUGAACGCAAUUUCUCACGACCUGAUCAGUGCUUGCAUGGAGAUAUACAUAGACGACGUGGUCAUGAAGUCCUGAGCCUUCGAUCACCACAUACUGGACCUUCGGAAGACCUUUACGCGGAUGAGACUGCAUGACCUCAAGAUGAACCUGACGAAGUGCGCUUUCGGAGUAUAAACAGGGAAUUUCUUUGGUUUUUGGUCCAUCAAAGAGGGGUAGAAGUUGAAAAAAGAAUGAGGCCAAGGCUGUGCAGGACCUUGGGCCCCCUCGCAACAUCAACGAGUUGUAAAACUUGAUGGGGAAGGUCAAUUAAUUGAGAAGAUUCAUCGCCAACGUAGCUAGGAGAAUGAGGGCCUUCUCAGUGCCGUUGUGUAGGAAUAAAGACGUGUUCAAGUGGAGAACAACCCAACAAGAAGCCCUGGAUCAGAUUAAGCAGGCGUUAGCAUCUUCUCUGGUGUUAAUGCCGCCAAUCAGUAGAAGAGAGCUGAAGCUGUACAUAGCCACGAUAGGCGAUACGACGGGCUGCCUCCUUGCCCAGGACGAUGAUGAAGUAAUAUGCAAAGUCGACCUUCUUCGCUAUUUAUUAAACAGGCCAGUCCUCUGAGGCUGUUUAGUUAAUGAGUGCUUAAAUUAGCAUUGUUCGCAUUAAUGGGAAACCGAGGCGACGAACAAAAUUUUGAUUUUCAUUAUCAAGAAAGCGCUGGAGGACAACCCGAAAGGCUGGAAUGAUACUUUGGAAGAGGCUUUAUAGACAUAGCGGAAUGUCAAAUCCUCCGUAAUCGGAAGCACUCAUUAUAGGCUACCUACAACCAUGACUUUGUGCUUCUGUUGGAGAUUACAGUGUCUUCUUUCCGGAUCUUGAAGAUGAACCAGCUGUCCAUGGGAUAGCAGGAUCAAACCCUACUCUAAGAGCUUGAUAUUUUGCCCGAAAAGAGACUGCAGUCACUUGAAUGCACUCGACAUUAAAAGAAGAAGACCAUAUCGACCUUCCAGAAGUGUGUGAGGUCCCAAACUUUUCGGGAAGGUGACAUGGUCUAGAAGGCCGUCAUCCCGGAAGGCCCCAAAGAUGCGAAGUUGGGGAGAUGGUCUCCCACAUGGGAAGGACCAUUUAUAGUAUCGGCUAAGUUAUCCAAUGUCGUGUAUAGGUUGAUGGAACCCAAAGGGGAGGAGUUGACGACGUUUAUUAAUGGAAAACAUCUUAAAGAUUUUAUCCUUCUCUUUGGGAGUUGGAAAGAAGACACGAUCAGGCUAUAGUUAAUGAUGACCUUCCAGGAAAAAAAAAAAAAAAAAAAGUGGUCGGACAGGCUGAGGAAGCAUGGAAAUAUUCAGGUAUUUGACAAAAUCAUCAGGACCACGAGUUUAGUCUUGUCCAAAUGAUUUUGUGGGGGGUAUUUGUACACAUUCAAAAUUAAUUGGACGGGCUCAACACAAGUGCAGCCCAAAUCCUCGAAGUUCGCAGCCCAACUGAAGGUCCAGAUCAGCGAGUGGGCCUACGGACCUGACUAGCCCAAGGACCCAGCCGGCCUGGUGUAUUUGAAGCAGUCAACGGAUAAAAUGAAGGUGGUUGGAAUUGUUGAGAAUAAUUAUGCAUAAUAUCUUAUCCAAACAUGAUUCAAAAUAAACAAAUAAAUAGAGGAUAUCAGAACAUAAAAGGACGGCCAUUCAUUAUCAAUCUUCUUUUUUUUUCUAUUCCAAU